GGAAGACUUCAGACUGAGCAGAACAGAAUGUAAAAUUCAGUAGAAAGAACAUCCUCAAGAUAGCGUCAGAAGUGCUUGUUGAAACAAAACAAAUAUCAAGAUGGAUCGUGGAUACGUGCCUAAACAUGAUCUACGGAUGGUCUUACUGGGUCCGGCUGGUCCAUGGAAAGGCUUCGUCAGCAAGGACAUCGUGGGCCUGUGGGCCAAUGGGUCAAUGUGCUUGGAGAGAGAAGAAUCUGGCCGGACAGUCACCAUGGUGAUGACCCAAGGCUGGGACAGUGAAUCAGAACACACUGGUGCUGCAGUAGAACAGGAGGUCAUGAGAAGCGUGACCCUUUGCCCUCCAGGGCCGCACGCUCUCCUGCUGGCGCUGCCCAUCGGGCCCGACAUGGGCAUCACGAGGCGUGACGUGGAGAGGGCACAACAGCACAUGAGCUUCCUGUCUGAGAGAGCCUGGAGACACACCAUGCUUGUGUUCAUCUGCACCUACAAAAUAAUGUCUAACAAGAUCUUGCUGGACAGACACAUUCUAGGUCAGCUUGUAGAUAAAUGCGGAGGAGGACAUUCUAUUAUUCUUGUGGACAGGCCAAACUCUUCUGAGCUCUUACAGAAGGUAGAUCAAAUGGCAGCAAGAAACAGACAAAGUUUCCUCAAACAUCAUGAGGUGAAAAGGCCGUGCCUAACAACACAGCUUGCAGCCUUCUUUCAGAAACGGAGUAGUUUGUUUCUUUGGUGUGUUAUUAGUGUGCUUGCAAAAGCACACUAUUGUUCUUCCUAUUAUUAUUAUCAAAUUUAUUUAUCUUGCAGAACAUUUUUGUCUCCCUAUCUUGUCCUAGGGAUUUGGAGCUAGAGACGCCGUUCCACUUCUCACGCGUGCGUCCUGAUGCGAGGAUGGUGGCUUGUAUAAAGCUUUUCGAUACGCCUUGUCGUUCUCCCGUUAUUCCAGUUUUUCCGGUUGAUUUUUCCCCAUAGGAAUGAAUGGAAAAGCGACUUUUGAGCGCUGAUGCCCACACAUUUUUCCACCUGUAGCCCAAACCGUAAGACAUAAAGUCAUGAAAUUUGGUAUGCUGAUAGAGGAGACUACCCUGAUUGACACCACCAGGUUUCAUGCUCGCCACUCUCACGCUCUAGCGCCACCAACUGGUCAAAGAUGGAAAACAUGUUCAUGCCCGUAACUUUUGAUCCGUAUGGCCGAUAUUGAUAAAACUUAUACCAUUGGAAUCCUCUGACUCAGCUGAUUCCAACGCACCAUGUGAUGUAAUUUUCCGCCAUGAUGGAUUUUCCGCCAUUUUGAAUUUUGUUCAAAGUCAAAGUAAAGCUACCCUGGCCGCAUAGUUUAUCCGAUCGUCAUGAAACUUGGCACGCGUGAUCUACAGACCAAGGUGGAUCAACCGCCUUGAUUUCGUCUUCAUACGUCCAAGCGUUCGCCUGUGAUAACCAAUUAAAUUCAGCGAGCGAAGCCGCCAAACAGGAAGUGCGCCUAUCUUGGAUAUGCUGUGACGUAUGAAAGCCAUAUUUGGUGGGAUGACUUGAGACCCCAUUCAAAGCACCCCCAAUAAAUUUGGUGUUAUUUGGUCUGUCGAUGGCUCUAUAAUUAGCAAAAACGUGAGUGUUGGUGAAUGUAUACUAUUAAUCGGAAUAGCUCAUCUUAAAUUGCUUUAGGUCAUGCCAAAAGGACAUUUCAGAGUGAUUUAAGAUACAAUGUUGAUAUUUAAAAAAAAAUAAUCUAUUUAUUGCCAUUCUUGUAAAAGGUCCUGAUGUGUACACCACAGCACAGCUUUGUUCCAAGUCUGACGUAUACAGUUCAACGACAUCAUGAUUUCAAACCCGAUAUUAUUACUCAAUCCUCGAUUGACUGACAGGGGUGGUCAGCAGCGGUACACCAAUGGUGUAAUUCUAGGUUUGUACGCAUCAUUGUCUUGCGUGAGACUGGGUAAUUCUUAGAGAUGCCAUGGUCCCGAGGGACAAGUACGGACUUACUCGCUGUUAUAUACAAUGUGUGUUCAGUUGUUAUAUAUAGUAGACAAUCACACGAUGUUUCUCAGUGACGGUGUGUUUUGGAUCAUUUGUAUUGACCUGAGCAUUCUGGGUAUUUCACUCAGAGGAUCAUAUGACACCCCCACAAAGCAGGCGAAAUACCGGAAGUAGAGUGGUGUGCGUGAGGCAACGAGGAUUUUAAUUAGAAUGUAGUCCUAUGGAAAUCGCAGUUACACUUUCAACAGUAAGUGUGUUUAGACUUCGAAUUUCGUCACAUAAUUUAUAUCAUAGCCACCUAAGAGUUUACCAAAGAUAACGUCGUUGUCCAUUUCAAUUUAAUAAAUGUUUCUGAAUUUGGGGAGGUCUCCUUAUGGAGGUUAUGGGGUUAUGUUUUCCAUGUAUUCCUGUAGGAAAAGGUUGUGGCUUACACUUUCAUAAAGUUUGUAUAUUUACACUUCAAAUUUCGUUACAUCAUUUAUAUCAUAGCCACCCUAAGGUUUAACAAAAAUAACAACGUAGUCCAAUGUUAUUUUAAUGCAUUUUUCGGAAUUUGAGAGGUCUAGUUAUGAGGGUAGGUUAGCUAACUGCAGUUCAAAUGCUAAUCGCGACUAGCAUCGCUAGUUGGUUUUAACUUUACCGAGGCUGUUUAUACUGAAUUGCAACUGCUGUUAUGAAGACAGUUUGGAGCCUGGCAGACGUGAAGGCAGUGAAAGGUAAUGAAAUGCAUGGUCCAAGUAGCCUGGGAAGCCGUUUAGUUAUGAGGGUAGGUUACCUAACUGCAGUUCAAAUGCUAAUCGCGACUAGCAUCGCUAGUUGGUUUUAACUUUACCGAGGCUGUUUAUACUGAAUUGCAACUGCUGUUAUGAAGACAGUUUGGAGCCUGGCAGACGUGAAGGCAGUGAAAGGUAAUUAAAUGCAUGGUCCAAGUAGCCUGGAAAGCCAAACUAUGUUAACUGUAGCCUAAGUUUAAUAUGGAACGAGUACGUGUUGCUGAUAUCAUUUCGCAACUCAUCGAGCUAGCAAGUCAAGCUAGUCUACAUCAGGCAGUGCAUAGAUAAUAUUAUUACACUUUUUUACAGUCAAUGAAGCACCAAGUGAAAGUCAAUGUUUGCUUUAUA